CCCAUCCUAAACCGGUAGGACGCGAGCAGUCAAAAGGAUCGUUUGGACAGCAGUUGGAACAAAUAAACAAGGUUGUUGUUGUUUUCUAGUUAGUGCAAAGGACCGCAGGUGAUCAAAUAAAGUUUUGUGUCUAAUUUGGUGAAGUGUAAAGACCAAGGAAUCUCAUCGACCAGCUAUAUCAUAUUGGUGUUGCUGCUAGACGAACCUUGAAAAUUGCAUCAUAAAUUAGUUUUCUAUAACCAGCCGCCAUAUCACACACAUACAAAUAUGUUCCGUCCGGCCACAAAGUUUCAACCAUCCAUCACCUAACAAGCAUUCUCUCGGAGCAUUACACGAGUGAAAUGGCACCAACACACGGGUACCCACCACGCUCACACUACAUUCGAAAGAUUGGCAUCUCCACCACUACAAAUCUCUCGGAAGUACCUGGAAAUUACGUUGCAUAUUUUCAUACACUCAUUGGCACCG